rnacentral:lncRNA from 1 species
AUUUUAUAGAAAUUUUUUUUCCAAAUAAGACUUGUAUCUAGUUCUUGUGAUUAGCAAUCACGAUUGGAGAGAAAAUCUUCGACUAAAACUUAUCUCCACCGCCACCUCCGAAAUCAAAGCCUAUGGAGCUAUGCAAUCGUUGGAUCUAGGUUUUGGUCAUGACUAUUUUCAAUUUUUUCUUCUUCAUUGAUGGGUGGUGAUUUGAAUAUUUGUUGGAUCUGUAUAUGUUCUUAUACUUCCUUCUCUACUCUGUAUAACUUGUUGAUUGAAUCAUACCUCUAAAAUUGAAAUACAAUAUAUAAGAUUUAAAUUUUUUCCUUCAUCGAUGGUGGUGAUUUGGAUCUUUGGUUGCAUCCAUAUUUGUUCUCAUACUCUUCCUAUCCCUAUUUGUAUCAGUGGAUGAUUGAAUCAUACUUCUAAAAUUGAAAUAUGUGUAUGAGAUUGAUGUCAUGACAAUGUAUCAUAAAUUGAAAUAAGUGACAUACAAUUAGUAAAUAAAAUAAAUCAAAAAGUAAGAGAGAGAGAAAAAAAAUGAAAAACUUAAAAUGAAAAAAAUAAUUUUAAAUUAAAUUAACACGUGUCACGUAAUGAUUGGUGCGUGGUAAAACUUGCCUUUUAAAAUCUAAGAUUGGCCGAAUAAUGAUAUAAUAAUAUCAUUUCAAAAUUGUUUAGGGGGUAAUAGGACGCACAAAUAGUUAAGGUGCCUGUUUAAAAAUUUGAGACAACUUCAUAUGUCACUUUAUGUCUUUUCUCUUACAUAUACCAACAGUGUAAAGAUUAAUUGUCUUAUCAUAAAUAUUUGUAUGUAAUUAUCUUGUAAAUAAUCUACACAAAAACUAUGACUAUUAUGCAUUAGUCCAAACAAGAUGGGUCUGACUAUAUCGGGACCGACUAUAUGAAAGCCUACCGAAGACGUCUCAAUCAUAUACUAUGAUUCACAAGCAAUUAUACAAAAAAAAAAAAUCAAGUGUUUUACCUUGCAGGUAUUGAUUUUUUGAAAAAAAAUAUUAUUUGGCAUAGAAAAUAUAUCUACUAUAUUUACAAUUUGUAAAUACACUUAAAAAAUUACAAUUCCUAGUUAUCUUUUGGAUUUUAUAGAAAUUUUUUUUCCAAAUAAGACUUGUAUCUAGUUCUUGUGAUUAGCAAUCACGAUUGGAGAGAAAAUCUUCGACUAAAACUUAUCUCCACCGCCACCUCCGAAAUCAAAGCCUAUGGAGCUAUGCAAUCGUUGGAUCUAGGUUUUGGUCAUGACUAUUUUCAAUUUUUUCUUCUUCAUUGAUGGGUGGUGAUUUGAAUAUUUG